CCCACCGGAUUACGCACAGGCGUGGGCGGGAGGGGGCGUUCGCCUCCCUAUGAUUGGUUGAGUCAACUGUCAGUCCCCGCCCUGUCUCGCGGCAGUGGGGGGAGUGCGGUGACUGGCCGCGUGAGGCUGCGGGGGCGUCACGUGGCUCCCACAGUUACGCACGUGACGGGGCCCGCGCGGCGUCGCUGGCGGCCGUUGGUGCGGGGGGGAGGAGCGGCUCUGUGAGGCGCUCCCUGAGUGUGUGGUUUGGCGGCCCCGCGGCCUCACGCGGUGGGUGGAGGGAAACGGUGGCUGUGGGGUCAAAGGAAGAGCUGAGGAGGAGACGAGUAGAAGCAGAGGAGUGUGUGACUGGGACAGAGAGGAAGGAGUGCUCUGUCUGAGGAACACUCAGACACAGGGUUUGGUGUUGGAUGACGUGGUCUUUGUGGGUCCCUUCCAACUCAGGAGCUUCUAUGAUCACAGAUGCAUUUGGGAGAGAGAGAAAAUGGAGAUCUUCUAUAACAGCAGAGAACAAAUACAAAUGAGCAGCUUAAAGAAAAAAACAGAGAGGAAGAUGUCUGCUUUGUGCUUCCAGUACUGAAAAUGAACCAGUGUGCACAUAAAAGUUAUUGGCAGCCGUGCUGAGAACAGAGGUCAUGAAGCUCUUCAGGCAAGAUUUUAUUUACCUU